UUUCAUAUACUAAUCGAAAAAGAUGGCAUUCAGUGUGCUUCCUGGCUAUAGCCUUCCACUUCUUCACAAUUCUCAACUCAGACAACUGCAGUUGGCAUGUCUGAGUAUCAUGUGAACUACAUCAAGAAAGGCUCUUACUGUAAUCAAUUUACCGAUAUAUAAAGAGAGCUUUCAGGAACAAUAGCCAGACAACCGAAUUCUACGCAGACAAGUGUAAUGUAGCUCCUCAUUGUGUGUGGUGAGCAGGGAAAAUAAAUGUAGUCAGAGCCACAAUUAUUGGCACCCUUGAUAAAGAUGAGUGCUCAUACAAAGAUGACUGCCCAUACAAUAUACUUCAGUAUUUAUUUUUGUCUUUUUUGCUCAUCAUCAAGGGUGCCAAUAAUUUUGGAUGUGACUGUGUAUUCUGUUCUAUAGAGGGUAGUGUCAGUGUAACUUACUGGGAUUUUGUUGGGGUGCUGGUCACGGAUUUGAUGCACUUCUUUGCAACGAUCAGCUGCAGAUAAGAAUUUGUAUUUACACAGGGAGGUCAAGGUCUCGUUCUCAAGGGAGCACUGUAUUUUGCAAUUUUACAAUACAUUAAUAUAAAAUACAGAAUUACAGACACUCAGGACACAAAUUCCACAGGAAGGUGGUCUAUGAUCAACAUGUUGAACCACCCCAAGAGGCACCAAUGUGUCCAUACAUGGGGUGCAUAGCAACUAAAGGCUGUUUUUCCUAGGUCUGUAGCAACAGACAGCAUUUCCAGGGUUAAACAUCCCUGUGAUCGGGUAUGGUAACUUGUACUUCUAUGGGUAAGUGAAGAUGUCAGGUAAUGUGAGUUUUUCCGAUAGGGUUUUAUAAAUAUGAAUAAAAUGCUAUGUUUUAACCUAGGCAACAUCAAAUGAGGGCCAACCUACUUUCCAAUAGAGCAAGCAGCAAUGAGUUUAAAACCUGUCAACCGUGAUAAAACUAAGUGCACUAUGGAAAACUGCAUUUCAUUUAACGGCCUCAAAGAAGUGGCAGCAGCAUUCAUCUAAAUGAUGUCACCAUAGUCUAGGACAGGAAGAAACGUUGACUGAUAAGAGAAUCAAUGAAAAGGUCUUUCUGAUCAGUUGGAAGAUAAAACAGUAUAGCCUACAGGGUCUCAAAGGUAGAUUGUGAGCUACAAGUACCUCGCAGCCCACCUAUGAGUAGCUCACCAAGAAAUUCUGAAAGUACAUACAUUUUUUCCACUUAUUUCAGCGCAUACUGUCAAAACUAUAAAGUUCCCAGCUACUAUCCAAUCAAAGACACAUUGACAUUAUCCCACCCAUGUAUAGCCACUAUUGGCUUGAAAAGCCAAAUGUAACAGUACCUAUCUGCCAAUUAUCAAUAUUGCCCCCGUCUGUUUGCGCACAUUUGUUUAUUAUUCCAUGUAGCCAGUUAGCAAUGCUAAUAAUACCCGUCUUGUGGGUAGACAAAUACUUUCGGCAAUAACCUUCUCAAUUAAAAUGUUAACUGGAAAGUUGGCCUUCCUGAAAUAACUAUGUCAUGAUCAGAGCAUCCCCAAUUUGACUGGAGCAUAGAAUGAGUUUCCCAAAGGCUGGAGGGUUGGCUGCCUCGCCCGCUCCAUUUAGGAGCUCAGGGAAUGCCCAGCGCAGCACGCAUUUGUAGGCUACUUGUGUGCUGCUAUAGCCCCUUGCUUUAGCUACUGUCAUGGAGUGGGCUAAAUAUCAUGACGUGCUGCAGCAGUAGGCCUAACAGAAACGUCGCUAGACCAACACAGAUACGCAAUAAAAAGGUGUUUGAAUGUCCAAAUGUAUUCGUUUUUUCCCCAGACCUAAAUCAUUUACGGUCUUCUGAUUUCAGCAUCGACAUGGGCUCAGAAAAUACAUUUGUUGUUUCUCUAUGACUAAUUGUUCUAUUGAGAGUAAAAACCAAAACCAGGAAAAAUAAAACGAAGAACUUUGCCAUGCCAAAUACUGUUCAGUAACCAUUAUUUCAUCAGGAAUAUUGACAUAUAUUGUACACCAAGGACGAGUUGCAGGGUAGAGAAGAAGAAUUUGCAUAUUUAAAAGCUAUUUAAAAACUGAGUAGCUCGGGACAUGUAAAAAAAAAAAUUAAGUAGCUCUCAUGCUAGAAAAAGGUUGGAGACUCCUGAUCUAGUCAGAAAUGUCUCUUUGAUAUGGGGUGUGCAACUGCAAACAUGAUCAACAUAGAAAUCAUAGGCUGUGACUAAACAGUCGAAGAGUUCUCAAAAUAGGCAUACUGGUUUCAGUAAUGCCAAUGGUUUUCCACAGAAGUCCAGGGCUCUAGAGUGUGAGUAUUUCACUCGCAUUUGCCCCUAAAAUUAGAUUUGUGGGCACCGGAAAAAUGAUUUACGAACACAGUGUGCAAUUAAAAAUUACAACCUACCGUAAUCUAUUUUUCCCUCGCUGCUAAUUGCUUAAAAACUACAAGUCCCACAUUCCACAAGCGGCAUGCGCCAACAACAGUAGAGUUCUGUGAUGACGCAGUCAGAGAAAGGUGAACUGGAAAAUAGUAUCAGUAUAGGCUAUAAGUUAACGUGCAGACAUCGCUAAAAAUGAAGCCCAUUCAAUUUUAUUUUAAGCGAAAAAGACACGAGGAGAAAGAGGAAUCCAGCGAGGGGGAUUCGCAACUAAUGAAGCCUCUUCACAAGGUUUACCUGAGAUAGGCUAACGUUGACAUGGCGGCUAACGUUAGGGAUGCUGAGAACAACGUUAGCGAAGCUACCGUGACCCCCAUGGUCACUAGCCGGUGGAGGGAGUACAUAUAGAUUCAAUGUGAAUUGGCUCAAAAUGUUCCCAUGGCUAAAGUUCAAAAACAACAUCAUGUUCUACAAAUAUUGUAGAGGGCAGAAACAGGCGGGCAACUUGUCCUUCGAGUCAGGAAACCCACAUUUGAAAAGAGAGCAUAGCGAAACAUAACAUCUCGCGGCGGCAUAUCCAGUGCAGAGAUCUGUACCUGUUGAGACAGAAGAAACCAUCAGGCAUGGUGUCAGCAGCCUUGAGGAGGCAAGUGCUGCUGUCUGAGGAGAAGAGGAUGCAGCUGAAAAUAAAGAUAAACAUUGCAUGCUUCAUUGCGAAAGAAGAACCUUUCGUCAAAUUUGGGCCGCUUAGACCACAAAAAUAGAGUUGACAUCAAUCCCACAUACGACUGAUGUAAGACGUGCGGAGAUGAUUAGUCAAAUUGCUGACUUAAUGAGAGAGACCCUGUCAGCGAAGCCGCGAAGUAUCCUGUUGUUCUAAUAGACGGAGACACUGAUAUAUCCAACACCGAGUGCAAGAUUGUCUACGUACACUUGUUGGAGGAUGGGAAGCCAGUCAAUCUCCUGGUCGGACAACAGACCCUUGAGCACUCUCAUGCCAUUGGUAAGUUGUUCCUCUUCAUAGGCUCGGUGUGGAUAUUUGCACACAGUCUAGCAUCAAGGGAACUCGCUGGAUCCCCUAUGUCCACAGAGCCCUCAAAGUUUUCCUACGGCAUGGACAAGACAAGGACCUUGCCACUGACUAAGGCCAGUACUCCGUUGUUCUGCAGCACAUGGAGCGCCUGGCCGCAGCAUCAACAAAAGCAGAAGUUCAAGGGCGGGCAAAGAAGGUACAUUUUCCACAGGAAAUGUAAUACCACACUAGUUUUUUUAAAAUAGGUUCAAGACUCAAAUUAACUUUCAGAAUCAAGUAAUUGACAGGUGACAGUUUAUUUACUGACUACCUAACAGAUAAAGCGGGAAAUGGGGAAUGCACUCGUGUAUUCUGCCAUUUUCUUUCAGACAUGUUUGAGGAGCGAUCCUCACUUAGCCUCACCAUGCAAAGGAAUGACCUGAUCCUCCCCCAAGCCACAGAUUUGAGGAAGACAGUGACCAGACUGGAAGCACUUACAGCUUAGGGCAAAGGCAGGAGGCAUGCUGGAGAAGAUCCAGACCAUGCUUGCGCAGCAGCAGGGUGAUGAGAAGAGAUUCCAGGUGUGUUAGGAUGAGAGCUUGUUAAAAUGUAAGAGAAAUUGAUGAUUAAAAUCAAUGAUCAAGACAGAUUCUCAGUGUGAGAUUCAAUGUAUUCGUUGCCCAAUAGAACAAUUUGAGGAUAAGGAGGGAAAUGCAGAGAAGUCUUUACUUUCUUAUUUAAAAAAAAAUGGGAGACAGACAUUUCAUUGUGUGUUGGUGUGUGUGUGUUAUUUCUGUUCAAAUGGAAUAACACUAAAGGGGAAUCUGAAAGGCUUUACGGACCUCACCAAUCCCCAGCUAAAGCAACACAUGGAGGCGGCCAUCAACAUCGGCGUGGAUGAUCUCAAAGCCAGGUUUGGUGGUUUGCUGAAGGAUGAGGGUGUCCAGACCCCAGUGGAGUCUUUCAGAGUGCUAAACCCUGACACAUGACCAGAAGACCAGGCCAGCCUUCUCACCUUUGGCAAUGAUGGUGUGACAUACCUCAUGAUGCAUUUCAAGGAGCCUCUAGAGAGAUGAGGGUGCAACAUGGCUGAAAUCCAGGAUGAGUGGCAGGGGCUGAAAAUCCUGGUCAGCCACAAUUUCAAGGACAAGUCCUACAGUGGCCUGUGGGAGACCAUAUUGACAAAGGAUCCCUACAGGCAUGAUUACAAGAACAUACUGGAGUUGGUGCUGCCCAUUUCAGCCACCCAGUGUGAGCGAGGCGUCUAUGCGCACAACCAGAUUAAGAAUUUGACAAGCAGCUGCCUUGGGGUCUCCAUCAGCGAAGACCUGAUGAGGAUCAGCCUGGAGGGGUCUUCUGUCGAGGAGUUGGAUCCCACUCCUGCCGUGGACCACUGGCUGACCUCUUAGCGCGCCAGACGGCCAACAUACAAAAGCAGCUGGACAACUGAUAUCCUUUGCGUCUAGUAGGCAUGGAUCAAUGUGUGAUUUUGGUGGUAUGUGCUGUUCCACAGAUGUGUCCCUUAGUACACACACACGCAGUAUAAAUAUGUAUGUAAUAAAUUGUUUGUUAAUAAACUGUUACAUUUUUCA